GCGCGGGUGGCGAAAUGGUAGACGCGCUAGUUUCAGGAGCUAGUGUCAAUUGCGACAUGUGAGUUCGAGUCUCAUCUCGCGCACAA
rnacentral:tRNA from 1 species